rnacentral:rRNA from 1 species
AACGAACGCUGGCGGCAUGCCUAACACAUGCAAGUCGAACGAGACCUUCGGGUCUUUUGGCGCACGUGUGCGUAACGCGUGGGAACCUGCCCUUAGGUUCGGUAUAACUCCCCGUAAGGUGUCCUAAUACCGGAUAAUCUCAUCGGACCAAAGAUUUUUCGCCUUGGGAUGGGCCCGGGUUGGCUUCGCUGGUUGGUAGGGGAAAAGCCUGCCAAGGGGUCGAUGCAGAGCUGGUCGGAGAGCAUGAUCAGCCACACUUGGACUGAGACACGGACCAGAAUGGUAGGGAGGGGAGGAGUGGGGUAUACUGGAGGCUGGGGGAUAGUGUGGUCAAGCCGUGCCGGGGAUGUGAUGAAGGGCUUAGGGUUGUACAGCUGUUUUAGCCGGGAUGAUAAUGACAGUACCGGGAGAAUAAGCACCGGCUAACUACGUG